CAAAAUUACCGUGGGAUUACCGGUCGUUCGACGUUUGAAUAAUACGCCGAGAAAUGCCUAACGCUUGCGCGUUACUCGACAACAGCCUUGUUAUUUGGGUAAUGAAACUUUUAAUUAAACCGAUUUACCAAGCUGCCUUGUAUCGCUAGAUUAUGGAAAACAACGGCAAAACGUUCAGCAUCACUGUGAUUUUGGAAUCGCAACAGAAUUUCGUUUAUCUGAACUUUGUUCGCUGUAGCGAAAUCUUAGCGCAUGAUUAAUCGAUUAAAGAUCAAGCGUAAAGUAAAUUUACAAGUCGACGAGGGAAAUGAUGUGACGAAUACUCUUUUUUUUUAUUUAUUGCCAGAUUUAUAACGACUGCUCUGUAAAUAAGCUUAUGGAAGUUAAUCGGUUGUUCUCUUUCGGAGAUUGAGCAAUAGUGGCGUAUCCAAGUGAGAAAAUUGGGAAAAUUGAGAAGGAUCGAGUACCUGAUAUUUCAAUUUCUCUAAAUUCCAUGAAAUCGUAUAAUCUAAAUGGAAGAAAUAGCGACGAAAGAAAUAUCAAGCAAAUUCCCGGAAUUAGCUUUCAUAGUUGCGAUAUUAAAACGUAGAACUCGAUAAUGAAACACGUCGAUUGGAAAAAACGUUGAGAAUAAAUACUAUUUUUUGAUAUUUCGCAGCAAGCUACUCUCGACAUCUGUUCGGAAUUUCUAGACUUGUUUCAAACUGUCUCGACACAAUCGCGAGAAUCGGGCGCCGUUACGGUGCUGGUAAAAUUUCAAAAUGUUUCGUAUAACGCGUAAAAAACAGCCAAAAGUGUUGGAAUGCUUUUACGAGCAACUAUAGGUACGUGAAUAAUUUCUAAUAAGAUUGUAAAUAAAAUCUAAAAUGUUUAACAGGGAACAGAUUUCACGCACUCCAACAACAUUUGCAAACUCGCUGGCUAUGCGUUCGUCCAUGAGCCGCGUGAAAAACCGCGUUGAAUAUUCUUCGCAUGCUCCGGAAACUUCGGCGCGUUUUAAUUAGAGCUUGCGGCUAAAUUUGCCCGGCGGCUACUUCGCAAACUUUACCCGCGUGAAAUCCGCCAGGAAUGCUUACUAUACACGCGUGUUGAGUGCCAUGGAAGCAGAAAAGAAACGAUGACGCCGCUAAUUUGAGCACCGGCAUCGACUGAUACUCAAGGGGUGUACGAGCAAGAAAAAUGAUUUCAUUAAAGUUAAACAUCGGCUUUUGCGACUCUAUCUCUGCCACCGUCCAGACUAUAACAUUCGCUACCACCGGAAACCUUCAAAGUUACGAUGAAUGCACAGCAACAACGUCAUCGUUGAAUACCGUGUGAUUAUUUCAUCGAGAUGCUCCAGCUUGUGUCAGCGACAUGGUACCGAGAUAUUUAUCGAUUUUAAAGCAACCUCGAUAAUCGAAUUCAAGAGAAGGGAUGAGCUCGUUAGAAUUUCGAAUUAGUACGUGAUAACAAAUCGAAGUCCAUUCGAACUACGAUCAAAAAUAUAAAAAUUGGUAAACGUAAAGUUAUCGGUAUGGUACGAACCUUUUUAC
rnacentral:lncRNA from 1 species